AACGCAUCUUGCGCUCCUUGGUAUUCCGAGGAGCAUGCCUGUUUGAGUGUCAUCUAAAUUCUCAACCACACCAAGGUGUGCGCUUGGAUAUGGGGGUCUUUUGCAGGCCUCUGAAAAGGAGGCCAGCUCCCCUGAAAUGCAUUAGCGGUAUCCGAGCAGAGAAAACUACCCACAGGCGUGAUUAAAUUUAUUUUUCUAUGCCUCGGUAGGCUGCAUGAAUGGAUUGCGCUGCUCACAAUGAGUGGGGAAUGCCCACAAUUUUGAUGAAUUUGACCUCAAAUCAGGUAGGACUACCCGCUGAACUUAA
rnacentral:misc_RNA from 1 species